AGUACAUUCCCCAUCAGGAGAGAUUUAGCUAGCUUCUGUAGAGACAUUUGCCAUGCACCAAAGUGUUAUAGUCUCCCCUAGUCAUUACCUAAAUGUAAUACUAUCCACCCUAUGGUAAAGUAUGAGUGUGCUCCCACAUCAAGAUGUUUGAUGACAGGCUAAUACAGAUGACUCACAAGCCUGGUAGAGGUACACAAAUUUCUUCAGAGAAGAGCAGAUCUACUGGCCAUUUCCUUGACUAAAUUCCACAUGAAUGUGUUGGCUAAUGGUGUCAGUAGAGGAGAUAAUCUAAGCAUUGUGGGGACAUUGUAUAUAUGCCUGUGAUGCUUCAGCUACAUAUAGAGACCCUAUCUAUAAUAAGAUGAAGAUGAAGACAACGAUGAAAGCAACGACAAAAAUGAAGAGGAAAGAUAUGAAUGCUGUCAUGAUUGGAAUCACCACUAGUGUAUCACUGUGAGGACUUUGGUUUUCUGUUGAGAGAAAUGAGAAGUCACUGCAAGGUGUGGAUGCCAAGUGGAAACUUGACCCAUAUUACUCUUGAAAAGAUCACUUCAGCUGCUCUAUUGAGAAUGGACUCUGGAGAGACAGUAGGCAUAAGAGAUCUAUCUGUGAGAAGGUGACUGGAGUCACUAAGGUAAGAGAUUCGGAAUGACCUGGCCUGGGACAGGGGAUGGUGGAAGUUGUUUCCAUGACAAGUGCUGGGAAGUGUUUGGAUUCUGGUCCAACCAGAUGAGGGAAGCGAUGUCACCUACUGGUAAAGUGUGUUGAGAUCUGAUUGGCAUGGGCUUUGGGGAGGAACCAGUCAGUGAACACAAUCAAAAGGCUCAAGGAGUUUGAUUUUGAAGAGGAGGAAGAGAAGCAGGAAAGAGAAACAGCUCAGCUGACAAAAGUGCUUGCCUUAUAAACAUGGAGCCCUGAGUUCAGCUCUCAGAACCCCUGGGAAACAGCCAGGCAUAGAUUGCCAUCACUGAUUGGGCCUAGUGAGUUAUAUAUAAAAUCAAAGUGAAGACAUGAAGUUAGGAAGGAGCCAUGACAUGGGGGUGGAUCUAGAGGGCUUUGGGGUAGGG